UGUUCUUCUUCCACAUGAGAUGACAUCCGAAGCUCAUGUAAAAAGAGACUGCUUUGUAGUUCGUCAACAGUCAUCGUCUCGGUAUUCUUAGAUUCCUCAAUGGAACACACAACAUAAUCGAAUUUGGGAGUCAUGGAUCUUAGAAUUUUCUCAACAACUGCAACAUCACCUUUGUUUUCACCAUUAGCCUUCAUCUUGUUUGCAAUGUAUCCUUAUUGAGGAUUGUUUCCAGAACUGAACGAUCCAGCGCCUGAAAUAGAUACUGGGAUGCCAUCUUGCACCAGCCCCUAGUACUCCUUAGAUCUCAGGAAGUUCUCCAUUAGCAUAGCCCAGUGGUCAUAAUGCCCAUCAAAUUUUGGUAUUGCGGGCUGCACAAAUGAGUUUUCUGAUGCCAUUGCGUGUGAUAGUUAGAAGACUGCAACUCCUACUGUGGUGAUCAGGCCCCGGAAUGGAGCUCUGAUACCAUA